UUUUUAGUAUCAAUAUGUCCCAUGCAAUAUUUGGGACAUACAUGUGCUAAAA
rnacentral:pre_miRNA from 1 species